AUUGAACGCUGGCGGCAUGCCUUACACAUGCAAGUCGAACGGCAGCACGGGAGCAAUCCUGGUGGCGAGUGGCGAACGGGUGAGUAAUAUAUCGGAACGUGCCCGGUCGUGGGGAUAACGUAGCGAAAGCUACGCUAAUACCGCAUACGAUCUACGGAUGAAAGCGGGGGAUCGCAAGACCUCGCGCGAUUGGAGCGGCCGAUAUCAGAUUAGGUAGUUGGUGAGGUAAAGGCUCACCAAGCCGACGAUCUGUAGCUGGUCUGAGAGGACGACCAGCCACACUGGGACUGAGACACGGCCCAGACUCCUACGGGAGGCAGCAGUGGGGAAUUUUGGGACAAUGGGCGCAAGCCUGAUCCAGCAAUGCCGCGUGCAGGAUGAA
rnacentral:rRNA from 1 species